rnacentral:rRNA from 1 species
CCUACGGGAGGCAGCAGUGAGGAAUAUUGGUCAAUGGGCGCGAGCCUGAACCAGCCAAGUCGCGUGAGGGAGGACGGCCCUACGGGUUGUAAACCUCUUUUGCCGGGGAGCAACGGGCGCCACGUGUGGCGCCACUGAGAGUACCCGGAGAAAAAGCAUCGGCUAACUCCGUGCCAGCAGCCGCGGUAAUAGGGGGGAUGCGGGCAUUAUCCGGAUUUAUUGGGUUUAAAGGGUGCUUAGGCGGAUCGUUAAGUCAGUGGGCAAGUUGGGGGGUUAAACCCCGUCCCGCCGUGGAAACUGGCGUGCUGGAGUGGAAGAGAAGUAUGCGGAAUGCGUGGUGUAGCGGUGAAAUGCAUAGAUAUCACGCAGAACCCCGAUGGCGAAGGCAGCAUGCCGGCUUCCGACUGACGCUGAAGCACGAAAGCGUGGGGAUCGAACAGGAUUAGAUACCCGUGUAGUC